rnacentral:ncRNA from 1 species
CGCUCCGUCUCGGGGUGCUCUGCGCGUGCCGCGGCGGAUUGCGAGGCACGCCAGGGCUGAGAGAGUCCCGCACCACCUGAACGCGGUAAUGCGCGCGUAGGGAAGACGGAAGCCUAUCCC